GCGGAACGGACGGCGAAGCGAAAUAUACCGACUACGCUCGUAGAUGCUUAAGUGGCGAUGCCUCUGGACGUGGGUUCGACUCCCACCGUCUCCAUUU
rnacentral:tmRNA from 1 species